GGGAUAACCCCGGGAAACUGGGGAUAAUACCGGAUAGAUCAAACUUGCUGGAAGGCUGUUUGGUUGAAACUUCCGGGGCUUUUGGAUGGGUCUGCGGCUGAUUAGGUUGUUGCCGGUGUAACGUACCGUCAAGCCUGUAAUCAGUACGGGUUGUGGGAGCAAGAGCCCGGAGAUGGAUUCUGAGACACGAAUCCAGGCCCUACGGGGCGCAGCAGGCGCGAAAACUCUACAAUGCAGGCAACUGCGAUAGGGGAACAUCGAGUGAUCCUCAUAUUGGGGGUCUGUCCACCCGUCUAAAAAACGGGUGUUAGCAAGGGCCGGGCAGGACCGGUGCCAGCCGCCGCGGUAAUACCGGCGGCUCGAGUGGUGGCCGAUAUUAUUGAGUCUAAAGGGUCCGUAGCCGGCUUUGCAAGUCUCUCGGGAAAUCCAGCGGCUUAACCGUUGGUCGUCCGGGGGGUACUACAUUGCUUGGGACUGGGAGAGGUAGGAGGUACUCAGGGGGUAGGAGUGAAAUCCUGUAAUCCUCUGGGGACCACCGGAGGCGAAGGCGUCCUACCAGAACAGGUCCGACGGUGAGGGACGAAAGCUAGGGGCACGAACCGGAUUAGAUACCCGGGUAGCCCUAGCCGUAAACGAUGCUCGCUAGGUGUCACAACAGUCGUGAACUGUUGUGGUGCCGUAGGGAAGCCGUGAAGCGAGCCACUUGGGAAGUACGACCGCAAGGUUGAAA
rnacentral:rRNA from 1 species